rnacentral:rRNA from 1 species
GACGAACGCUGGCGGCGUGCUUAACACAUGCAAGUCGAACGGAAAGGCCCUGCUUUUGUGGGGUGCUCGAGUGGCGAACGGGUGAGUAACACGUGAGUAACCUGCCCUUGACUUUGGGAUAACUUCAGGAAACUGGGGCUAAUACCGGAUAGGAGCUCCUGCUGCAUGGUGGGGGUUGGAAAGUUUCGGCGGUUGGGGAUGGACUCGCGGCUUAUCAGCUUGUUGGUGGGGUAGUGGCUUACCAAGGCUUUGACGGGUAGCCGGCCUGAGAGGGUGACCGGCCACAUUGGGACUGAGAUACGGCCCAGACUCCUACGGGAGGCAGCAGUGGGGAAUAUUGCACAAUGGGCGGAAGCCUGAUGCAGCAACGCCGCGUGCGGGAGGACGGCCUUCGGGUUGGAAACCGCUUUCGCCUGUGACGAAGCGUGAGUGACGGUAAGGGGUAAAGAAGCACCGGCUAACUACGUGC